AACAGGGAUUCUGCAACAGUUAGCCCCCCCUACAGUCAGCAGAAGAGGUCAUCCUUAUCAAGAGCAUCUCAAUUGUACUGCCAUAGUUUUCAAUACAAACAGUCUCCUUUAUCUUAUGGCAGAGGGCCGGCUGUGCUAGGUCCAUCGGAGCCACUAUAGCUUUUAUCAUGCCAUUACACUUUGUACUGACCAUCCUCCAAACAUGGCAUCAUCUUUUGUUUACACCUUAUCUCUGCAUCUCAGAGGGCACCUGAAACAAGCCCAACCCCAAGGGGCGGUAACGACACCUCCUAGAGGACUGCACCAAUACAUAUAAAAACGGUGUCUUUCACCAUUCGGAACAUCAACAGCGCAACCUAAAGAACCCUCUAACUAACUAACUAAGGAGUGCAGGAUGACAUCUGUAUCAACCAUGACGAGUAGCCUGGACAUCGCCCAAGCAACAGAAGCUCUAGGUACGUCUACAGGCGUAUGCCGGGGCCCUCACCGCAAAAAGCAACGCUGUGAAAACGUCGUAGACGGGACUGAAUUUAAGUUAGAAUAUCGAGGCAGUAACGGGUAUGUGUAUACCGUUAAAUAUACCAACGGAGCAGUUAUACUUCGUGUAGAUUGUGGCGAGGGAGUGUUUUGGGGGGAGUCACAACGCAUGUCUACUAGAAACUGGAAACUCUUUCGCACUGUUGUUUGUGCGGACUUGGACAAUGUGGGCUUCCCAGAGAUGCUGUAUGUUUCCCAGUGGAACAGUCCAACAGGCCCUGAGCUUUACAGGGUCGAGGCUGAUCGUUUCAACCGUAGCCCCGAUGACUUUAUUUUUCUCAGUGUAUGUGAUGACAGGGAAAGUUUUAUAGCGGCCAGAGGGGUUGAAAACUGGAGGUUAAAUCCUUACCCUCUGAGCAUAGAAGAGCGCGCUACAUGGUUUAAGGAUAUGUUUUUUAUACAGUGGUGCGACUGGAGAGCUAUGCUGCAUAUGUUUAGCAAGGUUGACGACGCCAUCAAGAGAGAUAGACUCAACACUGCGUACGAGGGUAUUAGAAAACGACUUGUUUUUGAUGAUUUUGCGACUUGCUCGAAGACUGGCUUGCCUUCUACCCUGUGCAAACCUAAAAUCAUAAGGCCGUCCGACAACUAAAUAAACCAAAUGAGCGAGACACGCAGCCGUGGGACCUCACAGACUCACCACCCCCAUCGCUGUUAAUCCAGACCCCACCAUCUCCACCCCCCUCUCCACAGCUGCUGCUGCAGGAUCCUACAGGAUCGGGGCUGUUUGAGGAAACCAUUAUCGACAUCAAGCUUGCAACCCACCAUCUUCUGAUGUUGGCGCUAAACGAGUUUCUACAGGAUACAUGCUACGGAUGUCAAAUAUCUCACCCCAGUCAGGUGCAACACAGCUGCUUGCUCGAAUUGCCCGAGUAUUUCUUUGACAUCUACUAUGACGAUGUGAUGAUAAGGCUCAAGACAGACCGUUUCAUCCCCGCCAUACGCCUGUUUGUGCGCUCCUACACAGUCGAUGGGACUGGAACACAAUUCAGCCGAAUUGCAGAACACACCAUGACCGAACUGAGAUCAUCACAACAUAUAGUAUGCGCAAUUAACGACAACAUUGUGCAGUUGCUAGAAGCAAGUCGUUAUGCCCGACGUGCUAAACCAGCCAUGCUACGUAUGAUUGGUAACUACUGGGCCGGGAGACACCUGGUUUAAUGUAUGCUGUUCAGUAUUCAUUGUCUGUGUGAAUGAAAUAAAAAGACGUGUUAACACCGACAGCUUUAUCAUUUGUGUCUUGCAUGCAUCAUGGAAAACACCAUGUAUAAAAUUUAUCAUGAUCCGGCCCAUCCGGCUGGCCUGGCCAGUUUAAAUAAGCUCCGUAUAGCUACCGCUGAGGCAAUAGGUGUAAAACCCUCAUUAUCA